AGAGUACGUGAAACCGUUCAGGGGUAAACCUGAGAAACCCGAAAGGUCGAAAGGGGAGAUUCAGCGUGUCUCGAUUGCGGCGCUGGACGGUCGUGCGACGGAAGACGUACGCGUCAUCCGCACCUUCCGUUCUCCGAACCGUAGUCGAACGCGUGCACUUCUCCCCCUGUAGGACGUCGCGAUCCGUUGGGUGCCGGUCUAAGGCCCGCAAUGGAGCCCGUUCGGACGGUUUACCGUUCCGGACGAACUUGCGGUGUUUCCCGGUCGGCUCGCUCGACGGUAUACAGAUGGCGCGGGGCCGCUACACAUUAGUUAGCGUCCGACCGGCGGCAAGCGCGCUCGUCGUGACGGUGAUCGGACCUGGUGCCGGUCCUGUCCCCGAGUGGCUGUUCGCUGCCGUGUUCUCGGACAGACCUCGUCGAAACGCCGAUCUGCGACGCUAUAGCUUUGGGUACUUUCAGGACCCGUCUU
rnacentral:rRNA from 1 species